AUGUUAACGGGUAUAAAGUAUCAACGGGAGGAUUGGAUAGAUCAUGGCGCGAGCACAUCCGAUCAAGCCUCGACCAAACGGGAUUGGACCCACCUCUGGAAGACGAGGGUACCGUCGAAGGUCAGGGUGUUUACCUGGCGCCUCGCACAUACCUCGUUGCCAACUGGGGUUACUCGACAUCACCGAAAUAUGGCAGACACAGCGGCUUGCCCAUUAUGCAAUGCCCAGGAAGAUACAUGGCGCCACUCUUUGUUUGACUGCCGUAUGGCUCGUUGUGUGUGGGCACUAGGUGAAGAUGACGUACUGGAACAUGUCAUUUCUAAUAGAUCUCCGGAUCCCAGGCUGUGGUUGUUCUGGUUGUUUGAAACGUUAAAUGAAGAGGAGCUUGCAAAAGUUUUGAUCACUAUGUGGGCUAUAUGGUGGGCGCGUAGGAGAGCUAUCCAUGACAAUGAAUUUCAGAGCCCGCUGUCAACUUGGUGCUUUAUCACGAGGUAUCUUCAGGGCCUAGAGAUUGCAGUGAAACGCUGUCGGGACCUGGCCUCGGAACAAACAUGGCUUCCACUGGAGGAAGAUGCAGCAAAAUUCAAUGUGGAUGGAGGUAUAUCGAGGCAGGGCCAUGUGGGGGCAGCAGCGGUGAUAUGUAGAGACAAGGAUGGCCUGUUCCUGGGGGCUUCGGCACUGGUUUUUGACGGUUUGAAUGAUGCGGCCGUUCUGGAGGCACACGCAUGCAAUGAAGCUCUCGCCUUGGCUACGGACCUGCAUCUAACCCGUUUGCUGAUUGCCUCCGACUGUCUGGAAGUGGUGAACAGGAUAGAAACAACAACGGCGACACACUAUGCAUCGGUGUUACAUGAAAUAUCGGAGAGGAGAAGGGAUUUCCACCAUGUCAAGUUCAAGUUUGAACAUAGAGAGAAUAACUUCGAAGCGCAUGCACUGGCGAAAGCGGCAUCUUCUCUUGUUGUAGGCCGCCACAUUUGGCUAGGGACAUUACCAAACAUUAUUUGUAUUCCGAUGUUGAUUACUACUUAA
rnacentral:rRNA from 1 species